rnacentral:rRNA from 1 species
GUACGGGAGGCAGCAGUGGGGAAUCUUGCGCAAUGGGCGAAAGCCUGACGCAGCAACGCCGCGUGUGUGAUGAAGGUCUUCGGAUCGUAAAGCACUGUCGCGAGGGACGAAUAAGGGGCGGGCGAAUAUCCCGUUCCGAUGACGGUACCUCGAGAGGAAGCACCGGCUAACUCUGUGCCAGCAGCCGCGGUAAUACAGAGGGUGCAAGCGUUGUUCGGAAUUAUUGGGCGUAAAGCGCGUGUAGGCGGCUCAGCAAGUCAGGUGUGAAAGCCCUCGGCUUAACCGAGGAAGUGCGCCUGAAACUAUUGAGCUUGAGUGCCGGAGAGGGUGGCGGAAUUCCCGGUGUAGAGGUGAAAUUCGUAGAUAUCGGGAGGAACACCAGUGGCGAAGGCGGCCACCUGGACGGUAACUGACGCUGAGACGCGAAAGCGUGGGGAGCAAACAGGAUUAGAUACCCCGGUAGUCC